rnacentral:rRNA from 1 species
AUUGAACGCUAGCGGGAUGCUUUACACAUGCAAGUCGAACGGAGUGGCGUACGGGUGAGUAAUAUAUCUGAACGUGCCCAGUAGCUGGGUAUAACUACUCGAAAGAGUGGCUAAUACCGCAUACUGUUGGAGCUGCCGAUAUCGGAUUAGGUAGUGGGGGGGGAAAAGGCUCACCACGGCAACGAUCCGUAGCUGGUUUGAGAGGACGACCAGCCACACGGGGACUGAGACACGGCCCAGACGCCUACGGGAGGCAGCAGUGGGGAAUUUUGGACAAUGGGGGAAACCCUGAUCCAGCCAUCCCGCGUGUGUGAUGAAGGCCUUCGGGUUGUAAAGCACUUUUGGCAGAGAAGCGGUAUCUGCAGAAUAAGCACCGGCUAACUACGUGCCAGCAGCCGCGGUAAUUC